rnacentral:rRNA from 2 species
UUAAAUGGCUGCAGUAAUUUGACUGUACAAAGGUAGCAUAAUCAUUAGUUUUUUAAUUAAAAGCUUGAAUGAAGGGUUGAACGAAGUAAAAUCUGUCUCUUUAUAAUAUAAUUAGAAUUUAAUUUUUAAGUUAAAAAGCUUAAAUUUUUUUAAAAGACGAGAAGACCCUAUAGAGUUUUAUAAUUUUUAAAAAAUAAUUAAUUAAGAUUUAUUUUUUUUAUUUUUUAAAAAUUAUUUUAUUGGGGUAAUAAUAAGAUUUAAUUAAUUCUUUUUUUUUAACCAUUAAUUUAUGAAAUAUAUGAUCCAUUAUUUUUAUGAUUAUAAG